rnacentral:rRNA from 1 species
GACGAACGCUGGCGGCGUGCUUAACACAUGCAAGUCGAGCGGGGAUUGAUGAAGUGCUUGCACGGAUUCAAUUCUAGCGGCGGACGGGUGAGUAACGCGUGAGCAAUCUGUCCUACACAGGGGGAUAACACUUGGAAACAGGUGCUAAUACCGCAUAAGACCACGGGGUCGCAUGGCUCUGAGGUAAAAGAUUUAUCGGUGUAGGGUGAGCUCGCGUCUGAUUAGCUAGUUGGUGAGGUAACGGCCCACCAAGGCGACGAUCAGUAGCCGACCUGAGAGGGUGAUCGGCCACAUUGGAACUGAGACACGGUCCAGACUCCUACGGGAGGCAGCAGUGGGGAAUAUUGGGCAAUGGGCGCAAGCCUGACCCAGCAACGCCGCGUGAAGGAAGAAGGUUUCGGAUUGAAACUUCUGUCCUUGGUGACGAAGAAAGUGACGGUAGCCAAGGAGGAAGCCCGGACUAACUACGUG